GUGUCAGCAGCCGCGGUAAGACGAACCGUGCGAACGUUGUUCGGAAUCACUGGGCUUAAAGGGCGCGUAGGCGGCUUGCCAAGUCAGUGGUGAAAUCCCACAGCUUAACUGUGGAAGUGCCUUUGAUACUGGCGAGCUCGAGGGAGGUAGGGGUAUGUGGAACUUCUGGUGAAGCGGUGAAAUGCGUUGAUAUCAGAAGGAACGCCGGUGGCGAAAGCGACGUACUGGACCUCUUCUGACGCUGAGGCGCGAAAGCUAGGGGAGCAAACGGGAUUAGAUACCCCAGUAGUCC
rnacentral:rRNA from 1 species